CAGAUAUUUAGACCCAACUUUCAUGGAUUUCAUCAUCCCUUCACCACAUACUUCUUUCCUCAUACAAUUCACCUGAGCAACAUGUAACUACUCAAUGCAAACACAAAUAGGGUGAACAAUCUGGCUGGUCUUACAGGUACAAAGUCAGAGAUCGGGUGCUCAAAGUCGAGCUCCUUUACAAACUCAGACUGAAGCCAUCAAAGACAGUGCUGUAGAGAUGAUCUGAUUGGUCGCUGUUACUGGGAAACGGA